AGAGUUUGAUCAUGGCUACAGAACGAACGCUGGCGGCAGGCCUAACACAUGCAAGUCGAACGAGUAAGAGCCGUAGCAAUACGGAGUUCUGCUAGUGGCGCACGGGUGAGUAACACGUGGGAAUCUGCCUUUGGUUCGGGAUAACCGCGGGAAACUGCGGCUAAUACCGAAUGCCCUCGAGAGAGGAAAGAUUUAUCGCCAGAAGAGGAGCCCGCGUCCGAUUAGGUAGUUGGUGGGGUAAAGGCCUACCAAGCCGACGAUCGGUAGCUGGUCUGAGAGGAUGAUCAGCCACACUGGGACUGAGAUACGGCCCAGACUCCUACGGGAGGCAGCAGUGGGGAAUAUUGGACAAUGGGGGCAACCCUGAUCCAGCAAUGCCGCGUGAGUGAUGAAGGCCUUAGGGUUGUAAAGCUCUUUUGCCAGGGAAGAUGAUGACUGUACCUGGAGAAUAAGCCCCGGCUAACUUCGUG
rnacentral:rRNA from 1 species